CAAGUCGCACGAAGAAGGGGGAGCAAUCCCUGAGUACAGUGGCGCACGGGUGAGUAACACGUGAAUGAUCUACCUCCGAGUGGGGAAUAACUGAGAGAAAUCUUAGCUAAUACCGCAUAACACUUACGAGUCAAAGCAGCAAUGCGCUUGGAGAGGGGUUCGCGGCCGAUUAGUUAGUUGGCGGGGUAAUGGCCCACCAAGACGAUGAUCGGUAUCCGGCCUGAGAGGGCGCACGGACACACUGGAACUGAAACACGGUCCAGACUCCUACGGGAGGCAGCAGUGGGGAAUUUUGCGCAAUGGGGGAAACCCUGACGCAGCAACGCCGCGUGGAGGAUGAAAUAUCUUGGUAUGUAAACUCCUUUCGAUGGGGAAGAUUAUGACGGUACCCAUAGAAGAAGCCCCGGCUAACUUCGUGCCAGCAGCCGCGGUAAUACGAGGGGGGCAAGCGUUGUUCGGAUUUAUUGGGCGUAAAGGGUGCGUAGGCGGUUUGGCAAGUCUGAUGUGAAAUCUAUGGGCUCAACCCAUAGUCUGCAUCAGAAACUGCCGGGCUUGAGUAUGGGAGAGGUGAGUGGAAUUUCCGGUGUAGCGGUGAAAUGCGUAGAUAUCGGAAGGAACACCUGUGGCGAAAGCGGCUCACUGGACCAUAACUGACGCUGAUGCACGAAAGCUAGGGGAGCAAACAGGAUUAGAUACCCUGGUAGUCCUAGCCCUAAACGAUGAUUGCUUGGUGUG
rnacentral:rRNA from 1 species